rnacentral:rRNA from 1 species
UACGUAGGCAGCGAGCGUUGUUCGGAGUUACUGGGCGUAAAGAGUGCGUAGGCGGUUUUCUAAGUUUGGUGUGAAAUCUCCCGGCUCAACUGGGAGGGUGCGCCGAAGACUGGAAGGCUGAAGUAUGGGAGAGGUAAGCGGAAUUCCUGGUGUAGCGGUGAAAUGCGUAGAUAUCAGGAGGAACACCUGCGGUGUAGACGGCUUACUGGACCAUAACUGACGCUGAGGCACGAAAGCGUGGGUAGCAAACAGG